ensembl:snoRNA Gm22609 predicted gene, 22609
CCUGUCCCUAGAGGCACUGCAGGUAUUCCAUGUGCAGCAGUAGGUUGCAGAGAGGAGAGAGGCUGUGUCUGAGCUCAGUAUUUCUGACCUGGGAACAUCUGAGUGACUCAUAACCCAGGAUG